UAUGCCCCCCUUCGAAGAAGAGGGGGUAUAUUGCUUUGCUCAUGUCGGUCGGUCGGUCGGUCUGUCUGUCGGUCGGUCCGUCCACCAGGUGGUUGUCAGACGAUAACUCAAGAAUGCUUGGGCCUAGGAUCAUGAAACUUCAUAGGUACAUUGACCAUGACUCGCAGAUGACCCCUAUUGAUUUUGAGGUCACUAGGUCAAAGGUCAAGGUCACGGUGAC